GUGAGGAAUAUUGCGCAAUGGAGGCAACUCUGACGCAGCCAUGCCGCGUGCAGGAAGAAGGCGCUACGCGUUGUAAACUGCUUUUAACCGGGAAGAAACCCCAGGACGUGUCCUGGGUUGACGGUACCGGAGGAAUAAGCACCGGCUAACUUCGUGCCAGCAGCCGCGGUAAUACGAAGGGUGCAAGCGUUAUCCGGAUUCAUUGGGUUUAAAGGGUGCGUUGGCGGAGCGUUACGUCAGUGGUGACAUCCUUCAGCUUAACUGUAGACUUGCCAUUGAUACUGGCGCUCUUGAGUGCGCUUGAAGUGGGCGGAAUGUGCCGUGUAGCGGUGAAAUGCUUAGAUAUGGCACAGAACACCAAUUGCGAAGGCAGCUCACUAAGGCGAUACUGACGCUGAGGCACGAAAGCGUGGGGAUCGAACAGGAUUAGAAACCCGGGUAGUCC
rnacentral:rRNA from 1 species